rnacentral:rRNA from 1 species
UGGCGGACGGGUGAGUAAUGCAUGAGAACCUGUCCUUCAGAGGGGGACAACAGUUGGAAACGGCUGCUAAUACCCCAUAUGCCGAGAGGUGAAAGGAGUAAUCCGCUGAAGGAGGGGCUCAUGUCCUAUCAGUUAGUUGGUGAGGUAAAGGCUUACCAAGGCGAUGACGGGUAGCCGGCCUGAGAGGGUGACCGGCCACAUUGGAACUGAGAUACGGUCCAGACUCCUACGGGAGGCAGCAGUGGGGAAUAUUGGGCAAUGGGCGCAAGCCUGACCCAGCGACGCCGCGUGAGGGAAGAAGGCCUUUGGGUCGUAAACCUCUGUUGUAUGGGAAGAAGGAAGUGACGGUACCAUACGAGGAAGUCCCGGCUAACUACGUGCCAGCAGCCGCGGUAAU